UGAUGAUGACGACGACGAUGAUGAUGAUGAUGAUGAUGAUGAUGAUCAUCAUCAUCAUCAUCAUCAUCAUCAUCAUCAUUAUCAUCGGUCAUCAUCA
rnacentral:pre_miRNA from 1 species